rnacentral:tRNA from 1 species
GGCCGAAUGGUCUAGUGGUAUGAUUCUCGCUUUGGGAGAGGUCCCGGGUUCAAUCCCCGGUUCGGCCC